AUGAUGGCCAAAGUGAAGAUUUCAGAAAAGUGUAAAGGAAAUGUUGGACAUCUCUCUCCCAAAGUGAUUAACAGGUUCUUUAGAAAGUUCACAUACGUUGUUGGUAUAAGAAAUAGAAUUGGUUAUGAUGCAUAUAUUUUAGAGCAAGUUCUAAGACAAGUUGCCUCAUCGGCUAUCAGGUUGACGAGAGAUCUUGUUCUUCUACAAUGUCCACUUUGUAGCCAACUAGGGUUUCGUUGGAUCGUAUCUGAGGGAUACCUGCUGAAUUUGGAAAAUUUCUGUGUGAUUAGGGCUUGGUUCAAUGGAAGACUGUGA